UGCAGUCGAGCGAACAGAUAAGGAGCUUGCUCCUUUGACGUUAGCGGCGGACGGGUGAGUAACACGUGGGUAACCUACCUAUAAGACUGGAAUAACUCCGGGAAACCGGGGCUAAUGCCGGAUAACAUGUUGAACCGCAUGGUUCUACAGUGAAAGACGGUCUUGCUGUCACUUAUAGAUGGACCCGCGCCGUAUUAGCUAGUUGGUGGGGUAACGGCCUACCAAGGCGACGAUACGUAGCCGACCUGAGAGGGUGAUCGGCCACACUGGAACUGAGACACGGUCCAGACUCCUACGGGAGGCAGCAGUAGGGAAUCUUCCGCAAUGGGCGAAAGCCUGACGGAGCAACGCCGCGUGAGUGAUGAAGGUCUUCGGAUCGUAAAGCUCUGUUGUUAGGGAAGAACAAAUGUGUAAGUAACUGUGCACAUCUUGACGGUACCUAACCAGAAAGCCACGGCUAACUACGUGCCAGCAGCCGCGGUAAUACGUAGGUGGCAAGCGUUAUCCGGAAUUAUUGGGCGUAAAGCGCGCGUAGGCGGUUUUUUAAGUCUGAUGUGAAAGCCCACGGGCUCAACCCGUGGAGGGUCAAUUGGAAACUGGAAAACUUGAGUGCAGAAGAGGAAAGUGGAAUUUCCAUGUGUAGCGGUGAAAUGCGCAGAGAUAUGGAGGAACACCAGUGGCGAAGGCGGCUUUCUGGUCUGCAACUGACGCUGAUGUGCGAAAGCGUGGGGAUCAAACAGGAUUAGAUACCCUGGUAGUCCACGCCGUAAACGAUGAGUGCUAAGUGUUAGGGGGUUUCCGCCCCUUAGUGCUGCAGCUAACGCAUUAAGCACUCCGCCUGGGGGAGUACGGUCGCAAGACUGAAACUCAAAGGAAUUGACGGGGACCCGCACAAGCGGUGGAGCAUGUGGUUUAAUUCGAAGCAACGCGAAGAACCUUACCAAAUCUUGACAUCCUUUGACCGCUCUAGAGAUAGAGUUUUCCUCUUCGGAGGACAAAGUGACAGGUGGUGCAUGGUUGUCGUCAGCUCGUGUCGUGAGAUGUUGGGUUAAGUCCCGCAACGAGCGCAACCCUUGAACUUAGUUGCCAUCAUUCAGUUGGGCACUCUAAGUUGACUGCCGGUGACAAACCGGAGGAAGGUGGGGAUGACGUCAAAUCAUCAUGCCCCUUAUGAUUUGGGCUACACACGUGCUACAAUGGACAAUACAAAGGGCAGCGAAACCGCGAGGUCAAGCAAAUCCCAUAAAGUUGUUCUCAGUUCGGAUUGUAGUCUGCAACUCGACUACAUGAAGCUGGAAUCGCUAGUAAUCGUAGAUCAGCAUGCUACGGUGAAUACGUUCCCGGGUCUUGUACACACCGCCCGUCACACCACGAGAGUUUGUAACACCCGAAGCCGGUGGAGUAACCAUUUUGGAG
rnacentral:rRNA from 1 species